rnacentral:rRNA from 1 species
UACGGAGGGAGCAAGCGUUACUCGGAAUUAUUGGGCGUAAAGGGCGCGUAGGCGAUUUAACAAGUCUUGUGUGAAAGCCCCGGGCUUAACUCGGGAAGUGCACAAGAAACUGUUGAAUUUGAGUUCCGGAGAGGAAGGCAGAAUUUCCGGUGGAGCGGUGAAAUGCGUAGAGAUCGGAAAGAACACCAACGGCGAAAGCACUCUGCUGGGCCGACACUGACACUGAGAGACGAAAGCUAGGGGAGCGAAUGGG